rnacentral:lncRNA from 1 species
CUGUGUCGAUAUCUAUAAUUGGAUUUCGAUAGCUUCUGUUUGGAGAUCGACGUGAGAGUGAGGUUUAGAUGAAGUGAUGGUUCUAGUGUUGGUGCAAUGGCUUUAUUUGUGGCGAGGUUUGUAGACAUGGAUAACGUCUCCGAUGCUUAUGUUCUUCGUUGUGUGUCCUGCUCAUGGGAUGAAAUCUUUUACAGAUGACAGUAUCUUGUAGCGUCGCAGGAAAUUAUCAGAGGCUGAAAUUGUCAAUGUUAGAGGAUGAGGCUAUCAAAACUUACAUUCGUUUUGAAAUUGAACCUGGUAUGUGGCGUUUUUUUUUUUUUCAGAGAUUAACCGGCCAUGGCACAACCCUCAUUGUCAGGCUCAAGUUUCCCAGCUGUUGUCAAAUUGGAUAAAAGCUGGGGCUCACUCAAACAGGAUACCUGGAGCACCCCCCUGGCGGUCUCGGUGCCACAAUUUCGAUGACAUGCCUAUCUCCACAAAUAUACUCUCAGCGAGGCUUUGACCCAAUCAAUAUCCAGGAUGGAGCAGAGAGAAUGACCCAAACACUGAAAAAUGGAAUAAUUUAGUGAAUGGUGUAAGGUGCGCAGCUCUGCAAAUAUGAUACGAAGGAACCCUUGCAAGGUCCAGCAUAACCAAACAAGCAGCAAAGUAAUGACGCACUGUCAACGUAACCUUUUCCAGCUUGUCCUGAAAUAAUUUAAUCAGAACUCAAACCUAUAUCAACAACCUCUAAGAGCAGAACUAGAAGCUCCUUCAUCAGCAUUACAUUGUUCCUAUCCGGAAGAAAAGCAACAGCACGUGUGUCCGACAGAUUUCUCACUAUCCACAUACUUAACUCGUCAUACAAACACUGCAUGUUUCAAACGCUGCAUAUCGAAUCGAAGCCACGUCUAUAUCGGCCACCACCAAAAGACCACAUGAAGCCCCGCUGCUGCAAAUCAUACGGCAGAGAGCAACAUCUAUGAGACUUCGCGUUUGCUUGAAGCCUGAAAACGAUCCCAGCCCAAUCAAUCCACACUCAGCAACCUCAUUGACUUAAAGCAUACCGCGACAAGCUCCCUGCAUCCUUCGCACUUCAUAACCCGCUCUGCAGACAAUCGAAGAAAAAAACAUACUUACGAAGCACACGUUUCAAGCUUGGAUCCCAUGCGAUCUCGAAAUCCCAUCUCCCAGGAGGACUGAAAGCUUCCCCAGCUAAACACAUAGUAAAACAAAUUGUUGUAAGACCUCCAGCAAUAUCCACCUCCUCUAAUUAACCUUCACAGCAAUUAGCAGCUCCAAGUGAUCCACAACUUGCAGUGAUUCUGACAAAACGCUUUUGCAAUGUCAUGGCGAGGACAAAACACGCACCUUGGACAAAACCCAUGCCCG